rnacentral:telomerase_RNA from 1 species
ACUUGGGGGUGUGGGGCGGGACUAGGUGCGUGGUCCAAACCCUAAACCAUUGAAUUCCUGUACGGGGAUCCCGCAUAAGUGGCGAGUUCUUUUCCCGGAGUUUCCCUCGUUAAAAAGAAACGCCGAUGCAUGCACGUGCCGAGUCUCUGUUGACAACUUUGCCCCUUGAGAGGUUUGUAGGUUGGCCUGCUUAAACACUAGGCUAGUGCUCUUGGCGGUCUUGCCCGUUCCUCGCCUCUCUGCCACCCCCACCCCUUUU